CGCGUCUCCCCCUCCUUCCACGGGGCAGGAGCCAGGCUCGAGGCUGCUGUGAGGACCCGGCAGGUGGGGAGCCAGGGUCGCGAGGACGGGGCAGACGGGCGGUGGGUCUCGGGUCACCCUGUGGGUUGGCAGGCUGGUCUGGGGCAAUUUAUUGCAAGGAAGUAGUUCGGCAAGACACCCGGUAACAAGGAGCUUAUUCAUUUUUUAAAAAUUUCUUAUAGUUGAUUUGCAAUGUUCUGUCAAUUUUUGCUGUACAGCAAAGUGAUCCAGUCAUUCAUGUGUGCACACACACACACACACACACACACGCAUUCUUUUUCUCACGUUAUCUUCCUUCAUGGUCCAUCACAAGUGGUGGUAGAGGGAGUUCCCACUGUGGCGCAGUGGUUAACGAACCCAACUAGUAUCCAUGAGGAGGCAGGUUCAAUCCCUGGCCUCGCUCAGUGGGUCUAGGAUCCAGCAUUGCUGGGAGCUGUGGUGUAGGCUGCAGACGCAGCUCCAACUCGACCCCUAGCCUGGGAACCUCCAUAUGCCGCAGGAGCAGCCCUAAAAAGCAAAAACAAACAAACAAACAAAAAAACCCCGCAAGUGAUAGGAUACAGCUCCCUGUGCUGUAGGGCAGAACCUCACUUCAGGAGCUUCUCCACAACACGAGGCCUGCACGACCAGGGCCAGAGGGCAAGGGCAGGGGUCAGUGUUUGCCAACGUGUGGCGCCCACACUGGAAGGCCACCUUCCCCGGGGCAGCUCAGGCCUGGCACUGCCUGCUGUCAGUUCAGGGCAUUUCUCACACCUACCUCACCUCCCAGGAGCCAGGCCCUGAAAGGCUUCGCUCUAGAGACCCUAAGUGUGAAAAACUCAACACUUAGGAAUUUAGGUCCACAGAUUUUAAGGUUCUCUUUGGAAUGUACUUUUUCUGCGUUUUGAAGCCAAAUAAACUCUUUCUUUCUUUAUUUGUUUGUUUAUUUCUGCUCUUUAAGGCCACACCCGUGGCAUAUAGAACCCACUGAGCGAGGCCAGGGAUUGAACCUGCAACCUCAUGGUUCCUUUUCGGAUUCAUUUCUGCUGCGCCUCAGUGGAAACUGGAAGAAACUCAUUUAAGGAGUUCCCUUUGUGGCGCAGUGGUUAACAAAUCCAACUAGGAAUCGUGAGGUUGCAGGUUCGAUCCCUGGCCUUGCUCAGUGGGUUAAGGGGCCGGCAUUGCCAUGAGCUGUGCUGUAGGUUGCAGAUGCGGCUCGGAUCCUGUGUUGCUGUGGCUCUGGCACAGGCUCAUGGCCACAGCUCUGAUUAGACCCCUUGCCUAGGAACCUCCAUAUGCCGGGGGAGAAGCCCAAGAAAAUG
rnacentral:lncRNA from 1 species